GCCAGCAUGGCAUAGUGGUUUGAGUGUUGGACUAGGAAUCUUGAGACCAGGGUUCGAUUCCCAGCUGAGCCA